UACGUAGGGUGCAAGCGUUAAUCGGAAUUACUGGGCGUAAAGCGUGCGCAGGCGGUGAUGUAAGACAGAUGUGAAAUCCCCGGGCUCAACCUGGGACCUGCAUUUGUGACUGCAUCGCUAGAGUACGGUAGAGGGGGAUGGAAUUCCGCGUGUAGCAGUGAAAUGCGUAGAUAUGCGGAGGAACACCGAUGGCGAAGGCAGGUCUCUGGGCCAUAACUGACGCUCAUGCACGAAAGCGUGGGGAGCAAACAGG
rnacentral:rRNA from 1 species